CCUACGGGAGGCAGCAGUGAGGAAUAUUGGUCAAUGGACGAGAGUCUGAACCAGCCAAGUAGCGUGAAGGAUGACUGCCCUAUGUGUUGUAAACUUCUUUUAUAUGGGAAUAAAACGUUCCACGUGUGGGAUUUUGUAUGUACCAUAUGAAUAAGGAUCGGCUAACUCCGUGCCAGCAGCCGCGGUAAUACGGAGGAUCCGAGCGUUAUCCGGAUUUAUUGGGUUUAAAGGGAGCGUAGGUGGAUUGUUAAGUCAGUUGUGAAAGUUUGCGGCUCAACCGUAGAAUUGCAGUUGAAACUGGCAGUCUUGAGUACAGUAGAGGUGGGCGGAAUUCGUGGUGUAGCGGUGAAAUGCUUAGAUAUCACGAAGAACACCGAUUGCGAAGGCAGUUCACUGGACUGCAACUGACACUGAGGCUCGAAAGUGUGGGUAUCAAACAGGAUUAGAUACCCCAGUAGUC
rnacentral:rRNA from 1 species